UCUCAAGCAUAAUAAGGGCAUUUGGUGGAUGCCUUGGCGUUAAGAGGCGAUGAAAGACGUGGCACUCUGCGAUAAGCUACGGUGAGCCGAGAGCAGGCUUUGACCCGUAGAUUUCUGAAUGGGGAAACCCCGCCCAAUAGGGUGAUCAUAACGUGAAUACAUAGCGUUAUGAGGCGAACCCGGGGAACUGAAACAUCUCAGUACCCGGAGGAAAGGACAUCAACAGAGACUCUGCUAGUAGCGGCGAGCGAACGCGGACCAGGCCAGUGGCCUGUAUGUAAGAACCGGAACAAUCUGGAAAGGUUGGCCAAAGUGGGUGAUAGCCCCGUACGGGUAGAAAGCAUACAGGUCCUCGAGUAGGGCGGGACACGUGAAAUCCUGUCUGAACAUGGGGGGACCACCCUCCAAGCCUAAGUACUCCUUAACGACCGAUAGUGUACCAGUACCGUGAGGGAAAGGUGAAAAGCACCCCGAUAAGGGGAGUGAAAUAGUUCCUGAAACCGGAUGCCUACAAGCAGUUGGAGCCUCUUUAUGGGGUGACAGCGUACCUCUUGCAUAAUGGGUCAGCGAGUUAGUCUUACAAGCGAGCUUAAGCCGUUAGGUGUAGGCGCAGCGAAAGCGAGUCUGAAUAGGGCGAUUGAGUUUGUGGGAUUAGACCCGAAACCAGGUGAUCUAGCCAUGAGCAGGUUGAAGGUGAUGUAACAGUCACUGGAGGACCGAACCCACGUCUGUUGAAAAAGACGGGGAUGACUUGUGGUUAGGGGUGAAAGGCCAAUCAAACCUGGAGAUAGCUGGUUCUCCGCGAAAUCUAUUUAGGUAGAGCGUCAGACGAAUACCAUCGGGGGUAGAGCACUGAAUGGGCUAGGGGGCCUUACCGGCUUACCAAACCUAAUCAAACUCCGAAUACCGAUGAGUACUAUCUGGCAGACAGACUACGGGUGCUAAGGUCCGUGGUCGAGAGGGAAACAGCCCAGACCGCCAGUUAAGGUCCCAAAGUUGUGGCUAAGUGGGAAAGGAUGUAGGACGGCCAAGACAACCAGGACGUUGGCUUAGAAGCAGCCAUCGUUUAAAGAAAGCGUAACAGCUCACUGGUCUAAAUAAGCUGUCCCGCGCCGAAGAUGUACCGGGGCUCAAGCCACACACCGAAACUGCGGAUUUGUUCUUUUAGAACAAGUGGUAGCGGAGCGUUCCGUAAGCCUGUGAAGGUGUACCGUAAGGUAUGCUGGAGGUAUCGGAAGCGAGAAUGCUGACAUGAGUAGCGACAAAGGGAGUGAGAACCUCCCUCGCCGAAAGCCCAAGGGUUCCUGCGCAAGGCCAAUCCGCGCAGGGUGAGUCGGCCCCUAAGACGAGGCGGAAACGCGUAGUCGAUGGGAAACAGGUUAAUAUUCCUGUACCCGUGAGAAGUGACGGCCUCUGGAAGUAGUUUUUCCUUAUUGGAUUGGAGAAGCUGCCAAGGAGGUCCAGGAAAUAACUCUCACAUAUGGACCGUACCCGAAACCGACACAGGUGGGCAGGUUGAAUAUACCAAGGCGCUUGAGAGAACGAUGUUGAAGGAACUCGGCAAAUUGCCCCCGUAACUUCGGGAGAAGGGGGCCCACCGUGAAGGCAACUUUACGGUGGGGGCACAGACCAGGGGGUGGCGACUGUUUACUAAAAACACAGGGCUCUGCGAAGUCGCAAGACGACGUAUAGGGUCUGACGCCUGCCCGGUGCCGGAAGGUUAAGAGGAGAUGUGCAAGCAUUGAAUUGAAGCCCCGGUAAAUGGCGGCCGUAACUAUAACGGUCCUAAGGUAGCGAAAUUCCUUGUCGGGUAAGUUC
rnacentral:rRNA from 1 species